UCUCAGUCAGUGCAAUUACUCCAUACUACAAGAGUCAAGGAGAUCAACUAUGAUGGAGAAGAGAUAUAUGAAGGGAGACCUUCUCUCUCUCAGAAACUAAGUGAGUUAGCUCAACAUGUUGACUUUAGAGAAGAGAGAGCUGAUGAUGAUAAUGACAGAGAAGAAGGAAAGAAACAAGAGGAGGAGGAGGUGGAGGGAGUUUCUGGUCCUACAACUAAGAAACCAAGUCAUCGCUGGCCAUGGGAAUUCACACACUCAAAACUCAAGCAAGCAUUGACUGAAGUUAGUGUACUGUCUGAUGUGUUACAAAUUGUUCAUAAUCAUCAUCAA